rnacentral:lncRNA from 1 species
CCAUUUUUGGCUAACUCUGCGAUGCAGUAAAGUGCCAGGUAGCACACUGUCUCACUAAAAUGGCUCUAACUCUUUGUUCGAGUGUCAGAUUUAGAUGAAUUUGGUAUCUACAAAAAGCUUAUUCAAUUAUUUUCAUAAAAAAAAUUUGAUAUUAGGAAAAUUCCAAAUGUUUCAAGAUAUUUCUCACUUGGGAUGUCACUUCAAAAUCUUUUAGGGGCAAAUUUCCACUCCACUUGACACGCUCCAAA